rnacentral:rRNA from 1 species
CCUACGGGUGGCAGCAGUGGGGAAUAUUGGGCAAUGGGCGCAAGCCUGACCCAGCAACGCCGCGUGAAGGAAGAAGGCUUUCGGGUUGUAAACUUCUUUUCUGAGGGACGAAGAAAGUGACGGUACCUCAGGAAUAAGCCACGGCUAACUACGUGCCAGCAGCCGCGGUAAUACGUAGGUGGCAAGCGUUAUCCGGAUUUAUUGGGUGUAAAGGGCGUGUAGGCGGGCCUUUAAGCCGGCGGUGAAAUCGCGGGGCUCAACCCCGCCGAGCCGUCGGAACUGGGGGCCUUGAGUGCGGCGGAGGCAUGCGGAAUGCGCGGUGUAGCGGUGAAAUGCAUAGAUAUCGCGCAGAACCCCGAUUGCGAAGGCAGCGUGCCGUGCCGCCACUGACGCUGAGGCACGAAAGCGCGGGGAUCGAACAGGAUUAGAUACCCGGGUAGUC